rnacentral:rRNA from 1 species
UACAGAGGGUGCGAGCGUUGUCCGGAAUCACUGGGCGUAAAGGGCGCGUAGGCGGCCUGAUAAGUAGGGGGUGAAAUCUUGCGGCUCAGCCGCAAGGCUGCCUUCUAAACUGUCAGGCUGGAGCACGGUAGAGGCAGAUGGAAUUCCCGGUGUAGCGGUGGAAUGCGUAGAGAUCGGGAAGAACACCAGUGGCGAAGGCGGUCUGCUGGGCCGUUGCUGACGCUGAGGCGCGACAGCGUGGGGAGCAAACAGG